rnacentral:rRNA from 1 species
AGGAAAGUGGAAUUCCCAGUGUAGCGGUGAAAUGCGUAGAUAUUGGGAGGAAUACCGGUGGCGAAGGCGACUUUCUGGACUAAAACUGACGCUGAGGCACGAAAGUGUGGGUAGCAAACAGGAUUAGAUACCCUGGUAGUCCACACCGUAAACGAUGAACACUAGGUGUCGGGAGGAAUCUCGGUGCCGGCGCAAACGCAAUAAGUGUUCCGCCUGGGGAGUACGUUCGCAAGAAUAAAACUCAAAGGAAUUGACGGGGACCCGCACAGGUAGCGGAGCAUGUGGUUUAAUUCGAAGCAACGCGAAGAACCUCAACCUAAGCUUGACAUGGGGAUGAAAAGCGAUGUAAAGUCGUAAUAAUACCUUCGGGUAUACAUCCCACACAGGUGGUGCAUGGUUGUCGUCAGCUCGUGUCGUGAGAUGUUGGGUUAAGUCCCGCAACGAGCGCAACCCCUAUUAAUAGUUGCCAGUGCGUAAAGGCAGGCACUCUAGUAAGACAGUUAGGGAUAACCUAAAGGAAGGUGGGGAUGACGUCAAAUCAUCAUGCCCCUUAUGCUUAGGGCUACACACGUGCUACAAUGGCCGUAACAAAGAGAAGCGAAUCUGUGAAGAAGAGCAAACCUGAAAAAAACGGUCCAAGUUCGGAUUGUAGGCUGAAACUCGCCUACAUGAAGCCGGAGUUACUAGUAAUCGCAAAUCAGAAUGUUGCGGUGAAUGCGUUCCCGGGUCUUGUACACACCGCCCGUCACACCAUGGGAGCUGAGGGCAUCCCAAAGUCAGUGAUCUAACGAAAGAAGAAGCUGCCUAAGGUGAACUUUGUGUGGGUGAAGUCGUAACAAGGUAGCCG